CUUAUCCCGUAUUUUUGGGUGGCUGGGAUAUAUGCGACCCAAGAUUGAGAUGGCAGCCAUGUUGCAAGCUUCAACAAAGCACUAUUGCUGAGAGGAGAAUAGGGUUUUGUUUUUGUGGAUGCCGUCGCCGGCUGCCAGGAAAGGUAUGGAUAGUAAUCUAAUGUUGCUGUGUCUACACCGGAAUAUGAACGUCGCAUACAAUAUGUAACCUCCAUUUGUGUAUGUGGAUCUAGUUCAUUUCAUUAGCUCGAAAUUUAAGGGAUUCACACUGUCAAACGUAGCGUUGUUUUACAAGAUCCCCAACUUGGACAACUUUACCUCGCAGAACGAUGUGGACAUGCAGAAUAUGGUGUGCCUCGCUUUGUCAUUCCACUUGCAACACGUAGUUGUCAUUAUUGCACAAGAAUAGGAGGCCAUUAACGCAAUCGAAUCUGAUGCUCAUUCCAUGACGAGCGACCUUGAGCCACCCUAUAGAGGGGUCAGGCGGCCAUUGGAGUUUGAUGAUGACAUUGAUCUGCUACCAAACUUUUGUGCUCACACCGAGAAGGUGCUACUAACUGUCACAUGGGCUAACGGACUCACUCACGUUGGUUAGUGUUUCGAAGGAGGUGCACAAUUAUUCCUGCCUGUGCUUUGCAAAUAUGCCGUUGAGUGUGGCUUCCAGUAUAAACAUGUGAAGAAUGAUUUCAUUCGGGUGACAAUUGUUUGCGCUAUAAAGGACACAAAAGGUUGCAUGUGGUACGUCCACGCACGAGUACUAGCCGCUAACGGAUUCUUCUACCUUCGCAAAUGGAACAGUCAGCACUAAUGUGGCGUUGUAGUUCAUACAUCUAAGCACCUAAGGGUGAGAUCAGAGUUGGUUGAUGAUAUUGUUUCAUCACGUGUCUGUGCAAGGCCACUCACACACCCUACCGAUGUCAUGUUAGAUUUGAAGGAUGACUACGGAUUGGACAUUACAUACCAUGUUGCAUGGUUAGGUGUUGAAAAAGCGAGAGGUGAACAAUUUGGGGGCACAUUCACUAUCGUUCGAUCAGUUGCGUUGGUACACCAAUGCCGUAACCGAGUACAACCCCGGAAGCUACACUAAUCUUGAUCACGAUAUCAACACGCACCGUUUCCUCCAGUACUUCAUAUCAUUCAAGGCAUCUAUUGAUGGUUUCCAACAUUGUCAUCCAUUAUUAUUCCUCGAUGCCACUUUCUUGAAAGGAAGGUUCAAAGGGUUCUUGCUGGCUGCUACUACGAAAGAUGGUAACACAUGUUUGUUCCCAUUGGCAUACGCAAUUGUGGACUUCGAAAACAUGACAAACUGGGCGUGGUUCUUGCAAAACUUAUCCAACGUCUUGGCUGGGGAAAGACCAUUAACAUUUGUAUUGGAUCGAAAUGUGGGGCUGCUUGAGGCGAUGCCUACUAUUUUCCUAGACGCACAUCACACGUUUUGUAUCCAACACUUACAGUGCAACUUGAAAGACAAAAUACGAUACAUGAACAGUGUGCAUCAUGACAGUUUAGUAAAUAAAUUUCGGGCUUGUGCAUAUGCACCAACCGUUCUCGCAUUCAAUCAGAAAUUGGAAAAAUUUUAGAAAUUUGGCCGUGCUAUUGCAACCAAAUUCCUCGAGGACGCGCACCCACGACAUUGGGUGAAUGCAUUUUUCAGGGGUAACCGUUAUAGAGAGAUGAGUUCCAAUGUAGCCGAGUCUUUCAAUUUGUGGAUAAGUGAAGCGCGCAAUCUUCUAAUCACGAAACUAGUAGACAGUAUCAGGGCACAGCUAAUGAGGCAGAUGUCAAAACGCAGGGUUGCCGCACAGACGUGGACAGGUGUAAUCUGCCCUAAAAUGGAGGCUCGGUUGGAAAAGUCGUACACCAAAGGCCGUUUGUGGAAGGUCAACCAGGAAAAUGAUGACGUGCACGAGGUUCAUUCGCACCCGUCCGUACUUGUCAACAUCGCCACACACUUUUGCUUUUGUUUCCAAUGGCAGAUUAAGGUUUUCUCAUGUCCCCAUGUUGUUGUUGCAAUAUGAAGAAGCGGUAGAGAUUUAAAUGAAAUUGUCGAACCAUAUUUCCAUGUGUCAGAAUAUCGUUCCAUAUACGGCCCGACAAUCUGCCCAAUACCAACAGUUGAAAGACCACCAUUUGAUCCAGGUGAUUAUGUCAUUCUCCCACUGGCUGUUAAACGACCAUCGGGCCGGUGAAAAAAAAAAAAAAUCAUGUCACGUGGUGAACACGUCUAACAGAUACAAUGUAGCAGACGUGGUCGUAUGGGAAAUCACAACUGUAAAACAUGCAAGGAAUCAAUUGAGUUAUGCAUUGACCUAUCUUCACCAUGAUGCUUAAUUCCACAUUGUAAUAAAACUUAUCUUAUUACCACAACUAUGAUCUCCUCAACACAGCCACUGUAUCGGUCAAUC